rnacentral:rRNA from 1 species
UACGAGGGGGGCGAGCGUUGUUCGGAUUCACUGGGCGUAAAGGGUGCGUAGGCGGUCGGGUAAGUCUGAUGUGAAAUCUCACAGCUUAACUGUGAAACUGCAUUGGAUACUAUCCGGCUCGAGGAAUGGAGGGGAGACUGGAAUACUUGGUGUAGCAGUGAAAUGCGUAGAUAUCAAGUGGAACACCAGUGGCGAAGGCGAGUCUCUGGACAUUUCCUGACGCUGAGACGCGAAAGCGUGGGGAGCAAACAGG